rnacentral:misc_RNA from 1 species
AAACACCCAAGCCCCGCUUGGUGAUGGAGGCGGCUCUCGCCGUCGUCCGCAAUCCGUCGGCUGCGGCGCCCUUCCGUGAAAGUAGUGAGACACAUCUUUCUGCGGAUGUCUGGCGAGCCCUGCAGGCCCAACGAAACCCCACUUAA